CAUGCAUAUAGUCAUGCAAAACACUGUUUUACACUAUAGAUUGUAUUACUCAUAGAGUGAUAUUUAAAACAGGAGAUAAGAUAGAUAAACUGCUGGAGACAACUUAAGAUAUCGUGGGUGGCACCCUAAAAUAGUAAUUACAUGUCCUAGAGUACCUUGCUUUUAGUUUUAUAUAAAAUAAAAUGAUGCUUUCCUUCACCAUUUUCGAUGUAUAGCUCAUUCUGUAUCGUUUAUGGGUGUGUUUGGUUUCCUUAACUAAAGUUAAGUUGAUGUCACGUCAAAUGUUUGAAUAUCAAUUAUAAGUAUUAAAUAUAUGUUCGGGUUUUAGUCUUCAUCUGUGUAGUUAGUUUUUAUAAUUAUACUAUAUUUAUCACCUGUAAUUAUCAUUCAAACAUUUGAUGUGACAUAUACUAAACUUUGGGUAAACCAUACAUCCCAUAUAUCGUAAAUGGUUGUUAUGAAAUGAUAUAGACACCCCCUUAGUAACUUUUGAAUUGAUGAAACUAGAAAUGCUACAUCCUUUAGUCGUAUUCUAUCACUAGUUUAAAGAAGUUAAGCUCUAUAGAGACGGUUCGGAAUCUAUUUUCACAUGCGAUUUUUAGAACCGUCACUGGCAGGGGCCUCUAGAAAUCAUUCUUUUCAUAGGCCGUUAGUUGAGAACUGCCAGUAGAAAUUGAUUUCUACUAGCGGUUGAGCUAAGAAACUGGUAGUAGAAACUGGAUUUUCACUAGCGAUUGAGGUAAGAAACUGCCAGUACAAAUCCUUUCCAGGAAACAUAAACUAGGUUUAAAAAAUAGCAAAAAAUAUUUAAAUUGGGGAGGUCAUUUGAUGGUUAUUAGAAAAAAAUCGAUUUC
rnacentral:lncRNA from 7 species